CACUAAGAGAGGUUCAAGAGAGGACUCCCACAUCAACUCAAACUUAAGGUCAAUGCAAACUUAAUUCAUCUUCCACUAGUUUGUUGGAAUUUAUAUGUAGUUGCGACAAUCAUUUCUUCCUUUGGGUUACCUUAUAGAACAAGCAAAAGCUAUCUCAAAUGGGAGAAUCUUACAUCAUUUGAUCUGAAUUUCUUUUGUGGGG
rnacentral:lncRNA from 1 species